AAAUUUCUUUUUCCUAUCUGGAAGAAGAUACAUCUUCACAUAAGGGUCAGAAGUUCCUGUGAAGUCUUUAGCAGGGAGAUCUAAAGCUUUGAUAAUUUUAACAACUAGAAGUUCAUUUUCAUAAUCAUACUGGAGGGUAAAGUUAAGUUUCCCACAGAUUUUGACAUCUUCGUUUUGGUUGCCCUCAGAGUCAACUGAUUUCUGUUUGUAGAGUUCUGGCUUUAUCCUCCCAAUGCUGGUUGUUGUUUCUCCUCGUUGUAAAACAGGUUCUGUGCCCAUGCUAAAAUCAACACUGGAAACCUGCAUUUGCCUC
rnacentral:lncRNA from 1 species